GGGAAUCGGGGUUUUGGGGGGUUUCCUUUUUGCUGCUGUUUCAUCCCUUAUCCACCAGAUGGCGUCUACAGGCGGAGGUUUCUCUGGAGGGAUGGGCCUUGGUUCAGCGCACCGGUGUUUAAUCACCUCUUCAGUCAUGGAGCUUAAGAGGAGCGGACUACCAGUACUUCGUCGCUUGAGUGUUAGCCUAUAUGCUAUUCCUUCGUGACGCCAAGCGGCCUCCUUGAAGAAUCCUUCCUGGUUUGACUCACCUCGAGACACCACCUACCCACGGGUUGCCCGAGCCCCGUUUCCGUUCCUUCGGCCGGAUCUCAAAGCCUCUUCCGGAUUAUUCGGCGGAUUGUGGAUCCGCUCCUCGUCUGUCCUCCACCACAGAAAACACUGGCCCGCUCUCUGCCGCAGCCUCCUCCGAUCCUCCUGGAUGCCACUCGAACAUACUGUAAGCCAAGACCCGGUAUCCACCGGAGUGCCUCCAGGACUGUCAUCAUCAUUUUCCCAAUGUGCCGGCCUCCCCCAGAAGCCCUCCCCUGACAGUUCGUCGUUCUACCCACCGAAUCUGUGUUUACAUUAAUAAACUAUAUUUUGCUGA